rnacentral:lncRNA from 1 species
AAAUGAACACAUACCCUGUCCGGCUCACAGAGUUCAGGUUUCUCUUCUACCACGGUUGGCCCCACAUGGAAUCCGAACAGGAGGAAGAGACAGGUUCAGGACAAAAGGCUGGGAUUUCAGCCCUUACUCCCUGCCUCCAGGAAACUUCUCUCAGAGGCUUUCACCCAUCAUCCCCUCAUGGACUCUGCAGCCACUUUGCCAAGAGAGGGUGGCAGCUGUCUCUAUAAGGGCCCUUUCAUCAUCCUUACAGUGCAAACAAAAACACAGCCAUCCCUCGGCAUCUCUGGGGGAUUGGAUCCAGGACCCCUAGCGAAUAGCAAAAUCCAAGCAUGCUCAAAAGUCCCUUAUAUAAAAUGGUGUAGUAUUUGCCUAUAACCUAUACACAUCCUCCCAUAUACUUUAAAUCAGCUCUAGAUUACUCAUAAUACCUGGUACAAUGUAAAUGCUGUGUAAAUGGUUGUAAUACUGCAUUAUUUAGGAAUAACAAGAAAAAGGUGUACAUGUUCAGUGCUGACACUACUCUCCAUUUUCUUUUUUUCUGAGUAUUUUUGAUCUGCAGUUGGUUGACUCCACGGAUGCAGAACCCAUGGAUGGAUACAGAGGGUUGACUGUAUAAGAAGUUUUCUAUAAAUGUCUGCUGUGGACUGAACUGAUGGAAUAAGCAUCCAAAAGGAAUGCCACCGGCUGAAAUGCUGACCCUCAUCACCAAGAUAAAACAUUGCAGGGAUGCAUGAAAAUUACAUUUGGGGAGUAAAUAGGCAGCCCAAGUACAGAGUGAAGAAGACCUGCUUAGAGGUGGCACACAUGAAAACAACUCAAAGAUCUCUGUCUGGAGAACUCCUGCACAUCCUUCAAGGCCCAGGUGAAAUGUCGCUUCAGAUCCUCCCAAACACAAUGACCCACUCCCGUCCUGUGCUACCCCAGCGCUUUACACACAGCUCUGCGACAGCCUGUGGCCAUUUUGGAAUUGGGGAUACCCAGCGUUCGGAAUUCCUUAGAGCUGGGAUGCUGGGUGUGGCUGUCACAGCAUUGCAGUGCCAGAGUGGCCAAAAAUGUGUUGUAAGUGAAUAAAUGAAUUCCUCAAUUCAUCAAGUUUAUCUCCUUAACCAUCUGCAACCAGGAGUGGGUAGGAUUGGGAACGGAGAGAAAGGCCUCCACGGUCUCCAGAGAGGAGCUUAGUCCUGGGCCCACCAGCCAAGAUAGGGAUAUGGUGGGCACAUCCCAGGGGGGAACUUAGACACUCAGACAGGUGCUGCUUCCAGGCCUUUGGUCCUCUGCUCUGCUGAGGGUGGUGCUGGAGGGAUGGAGGCAAGGGUUGUGGUUUGGGCAGAAG